rnacentral:rRNA from 1 species
CUACGGGUCGCAGCAGUAAGGAAUAUUGCGCAAUGGAGGCAACUCUGACGCAGCCAUGCCGCGUGCAGGAAGAAGGCCUUAUGGGUCGUAAACUGCUUUUAUUUAGGAAUAAACCCCCGAACGUGUUCGGGGCUGAAGGUACUAAACGAAUAAGCACCGGCUAACUCCGUGCCAGCAGGCCGCGGUAAUACGGAGGGUGCAAGCGUUAUCCGGAUUGAUUGGGUUUAAAGGGUGCGCAGGCGGGCUAUUAAGUCAGUGGUGAAAUCCCGGGGCUCAACUCCGGAAAUGCCAUUGAUACUGAUAGUCUUGAGUUUGGUUGAAGUGGGCGGAAUGUAGCAUGUAGCGGUGAAAUGCAUAGAUAUGCUACAGAACACCAAUCGCGAAGGCAGCUCACUAAGCCAAAACUGACGCUCAUGCACGAAAGCGUGGGGAUCAAACAGGAUUAGAUACCCCAGUAGUC